GAAAAGCGAUAAGUAAUGUGAAUUGCAGAAUUCAGUGAAUCAUCGAAUCUUUGAACGCACAUUGCGCCCCCUGGUAUUCCGGGGGGCAUGCCUGUUCGAGCGUCAUUUCACCACUCAAGCCUCGCUUGGUAUUGGGCGACGCGGUCCGCCGCGCGCCUCAAAUCGACCGGCUGGGUCUUUCGUCCCCUCAGCGUUGUGGAAACUAUUCGCUAAAGGGUGCCGCGGGAGGCCACGCCGUAAAACAACCCCAUUUCUAAGGUUGACCUCGGAUCAGGCAGGGAUACCCGCUGAACUUAAGC
rnacentral:misc_RNA from 1 species